UUACUAGACAAAUAGGAAAAUACGUAUAUAGUUAUUAAACUGUGGUUUCAGUGGAAAUCCUGUACGUAAAUUCAAAAUACUUAGGAACACUUUUCUACCCAAUGUGGCAUUGCGGUAGGAUGUAGGUAAUGACGGUACUCUAUAAACGGAAUGGCGUAGUGCAAGUCAUGCAAACGCCCAAAAUUAUAUCCUAAUAAUUAUAAUAUAAAUAAGAGCUUGCAAGCGUUGGUUCGGGAGUUCGGAAAACAGACGUUGUUAGACGUACAAAAGUGAUAAGUUGGAAAUCGUAUCGCAGGAGGCGAUAGCGUUUGAAUAAGUUUCAAGUUUAAAGAUUGACGGUUGGCCGUAAUCUCAACGUUUCAAUAACAUAUUUGUGUCGCAAAGAACCAACGUUUGGAACUCCGUAUCAUAAAUCGUGCACAAACCACUGUAAAUAUCCUAUCAAGUGUUAAAUACAAUUGUCAAAAUACAGUCCCAUCGUUCGAGUGAAGUUUCGAGAGCAGUGAACCAGCACUUCGCGCAGAUUGUGCGAAAUUAUGAGAAUGCUAACAGUGUUAAAGUGUUUAGAAGAAUGUGUUAGAAAUAUAAGAUGGCAACAACGAUAAGAAAAUUUUCAGGAAAAUUCUCAACAAGGCAAAACUAACCGAAAUCGUCGUUUCCUAUUGGAAUUACAGUACAGACUUAAGAUAAUACUUUGAAUAAUUAAAUGUAAAAAAUGUUAAAAAAAGAAAAUACAUUGUCCUAAAAAGAAUACGUCAAAUGUAUCUUUACGAUAAGUUCUCCACACUUUAUGUGAUUAUUACACAUCCUAUUAAUAAAUUGAUGUGUACAGUUUAAUGAAGAAAACAUCGAAGAAGAGUACCAGGACAUGGAAAAAGAAACUGAAAUAGAGGAAAUAAACGAGAAGAAAGCACACGAGUUCGAACAAGAAAAGAAGCAUGAAGAUAUCGACGAAGAAGAAAUUCAAGAUAAAGAUAUGGACUACCAGCACAACUCAGAGAAAUAUCUUAAAGAAGAAGAAACGAAGAUAACGAAAUGAGAGUAUAUAAUUUCAAGAUAACUAAAUGGAUUGAAAUUUUCCUGAACUAAACAAGCUCUUCUUGGAGCUUUUCUGAACUAACAAGCUAUUACUUCAGUUUCUUGGCUGUUGAUUUUUUGAAUGGAAACUUUCAAAUAUCAAGAAACAGUCAAAAAAUAGGAAUUUAUCUGUCAAAUAAAAUACUAUCGAUGUCUCAAA